AAUUUACAAAGAUACGGUUAAACAAGGCCUAGCACAGGCCAACAAUUUUUUGCCAUGUGGCAGUUGUUUUGAAUUUACCUAGGUUUUUUUUUCUUUUUCUGUAUGUGGAGGGAGAAGAGGAAAGGUAUUGAAGGGAAGUAACUGUAUUCUAUGAUUUUAUUUCAGAUGCAGCUGUUCUCUUAGUUACAUUGGCAGAUUGUGUGUUGUCAAUGUUGACUAUUGCUUAGGGAACCACAGUAUAUCAGUGCAUGGCCUCUGCCUGGCCCUUUCGCACAAUUGUAACUGUAGCGGUCUGCAAAGAUAUGAAAGGAACAUCUGUGAGAUAGAUACUGAAGACUGCAAAUCUGCGUCCUGCAAAAAUGGAACAACUAGUACACAUUUAAGGGGAUAUUUCUUCCGCAAGUGUGUCCCAGGAUUUAAAGUUUUCUGUCUUAAACUUCCAGUGUAGUGGUAAAAACAGAUUUCUCUGUCUAGUUCCUGAUAUUAAAGAAUUUGUCAGUGUGGCCAUCUCGUCUUGUGUUUUCUUUUUGGGGAGGUUUUGACUACGAAUUCAAUCAC
rnacentral:lncRNA from 10 species